ACGAUUGACGGAGCGAAGCGACGUCAAAGCGUUCAUUAAAGUCGAGUUGGCUUAGGGAUACGUUCGUUGGGUAGGGGAGCGUUCUGUAAGCCUGUGAAGGUGUGUCGUGAGGCAUGCUGGAGGUAUCAGAAGUGCGAAUGCUGACAUAAGUAACGAUAAAGCGGGUGAAAAGCCCGCUCGCCGGAAGACCAAGGGUUCCUGUCCAACGUUAAUCGGGGCAGGGUGAGUCGACCCCUAAGGCGAGGCCGAAAGGCGUAGUCGAUGGGAAACGGGUUAAUAUUCCCGUACUUGGUGUUACUGCGAAGGGGGGACGGAGAAGGCUAUGUUGGCCGGGCGACGGUUGUCCCGGUUUAAGCGUGUAGGUGUGUGUUCCAGGUAAAUCCGGUUCACUUUAACACUGAGGCGUGACGACGAGGCACUACGGUGCUGAAGCAACAAAUGCCCUGCUUCCAGGAAAAGCCUCUAAGCAUCAGGUAACACGAAAUCGUACCCCAAACCGACACAGGUGGUCAGGUAGAGAAUACCAAGGCGCUUGAGAGAACUCGGGUGAAGGAACUAGGCAAAAUGGUGCCGUAACUUCGGGAGAAGGCACGCUGACACGUAGGUGAAGUGAUUUACUCAUGGAGCUGAAGUCAGUCGAAGAUACCAGCUGGCUGCAACUGUUUAUUAAAAACACAGCACUGUGCAAACACGAAAGUGGACGUAUACGGUGUGACGCCUGCCCGGUGCCGGAA
rnacentral:rRNA from 1 species